GUGAGAGCGAUUGCCCGGAGAUGGAUCUGAGAUAUGAUCCUAGGCCUACGGGGUGCAGCAGGCGCGAAAACUUUACAAUGUGGGAAACCAUGAUAAGGGAAUUCCCAGUGUUCCUACAUAGUAGGAACUGUUUAGGUGUGUAAAAAGCACUUAAUAGAAAGGGCCGGGUAAGACCGGUGCCAGCCGCCGCGGUAAUACCGGUGGCUCGAGUGGUGGCCGCUAUUAUUGGGUCUAAAGGGUCCGUAGCCGGCUUGAUAAGUUACCUGGGAAAUCCGGUGGCCUAACCAUCGGGCGGCCAGGUAAUACUAUCAGGCUCGGGACUAGGAGAGACCAGAGGUACUCAUGAGGUAGGAGUGAAAUCCUGUAAUCUUAUGAGGACCACCAGUGGUGAAGACGUCUGGUUAGAAUAGGUCCGACGGUGAGGGACGAAGGCUGGGGGCGCAAACCGGAUUAGAUACCCGGGUAGUCCCAGCAGUAAACGAUGCCAGCUAUGUGUUGCUGGAACCAUGGGUUCCAGCAGUGCCGAAGGGAAGCCGUGAAGCUGGCCACCUGGGAAGUACGGUCGCAAGGCUGAAACUUAAAGGAAUUGGCGGGGGAGUACCACAACCGGUGGAGCCUGCGGUUUAAUUGGAUUCAACGCCGGGA
rnacentral:rRNA from 1 species